CCUACGGGGGUCAGCAGUGAGGAAUAUUGGUCAAUGGCCGGAAGGCUGAACCAGCCAAGCAGCGUGAAGGACGAAGGUGCCAAGCAUUGUAAACUUCUUUUGUCAAGGGACAAAAUCAGGCUCGAGAGCCUGACCGAGGGUACUUGAAGAAAAAGCAUCGGCUAACUCCGUGCCAGCAGCCGCGGUAAUACGGAGGAUGCGAGCGUUAUCCGGAUUUAUUGGGUUUAAAGGGUGAGUAGGCGGACGGUUAAGUCAGCGGGAAAAGCCAGGGGUGAAACCCCGGGGGGCCGGUGAAACUGGCUGUCUUGAGAUGUCGAGAGGUAUGCGGAAUGCGCAGUGUAGCGGUGAAAUGCUUAGAUAGUGCGCAGAACUCCGAUUGCGAAGGCAGCAUACCGGCGGCGAUCUGACGCUGAGGCACGAAAGCGUGGGUAUCGAACAGGAUUAGAUACCCGAGUAGUC
rnacentral:rRNA from 1 species